UGGGGAAUAUUGCACAAUGGGCGCAAGCCUGAUGCAGCCAUGCCGCGUGUGUGAAGAAGGCCUUCGGGUUGUAAAGCACUUUCAGCGAGGAGGAAGGUGGUGAGCUUAAUACGUCCAUCAAUUGACGUUACUCGCAGAAGAAGCACCGGCUAACUCCGUGCCAGCAGCCGCGGUAAUACGGAGGGUGCAAGCGUUAAUCGGAAUUACUGGGCGUAAAGCGCACGCAGGCGGUUUGUUAAGUCAGAUGUGAAAUCCCCGGGCUCAACCUGGGAACUGCAUUUGAAACUGGCAAGCUAGAGUCUCGUAGAGGGGGGUAGAAUUCCAGGUGUAGCGGUGAAAUGCGUAGAGAUCUGGAGGAAUACCGGUGGCGAAGGCGGCCCCCUGGACGAAGACUGACGCUCAGGUGCGAAAGCGUGGGGAGCAAACAGGAUUAGAUACCCCUGGUAGUCCAGCGCUGUAAAACGAUGUCGAUUUUGGAGGUUGUGCCCUUGAGGCGUGGCUUCCGGAGCUAACGCGUUAAAUCGACCGCCUGGGGAGUACGGCCGCAAGGUUAAAACUCAAAGGAAUUGACGGGGUCUAGCUG
rnacentral:rRNA from 1 species